rnacentral:rRNA from 1 species
ACUUAGCGGCGGACGGGUGAGGAACGCGUGGGUAACCUGCCCUAUACAGGGGGAUAACACAGAGAAAUCUGUGCUAAAACCGCAUAAGCCUACAGUACCGCAUGAUACGGUAGGAAAAACUCAGGUGGUAUAGGAUGGGCCCGCGUCUGAUUAGCUAGUUGGAGAGGUAAUGGCUCACCAAGGCGACGAUCAGUAGCCGGUCUGAGAGGAUGGACGGCCACAUUGGGACUGAGACACGGCCCAAACUCCUACGGGAGGCAGCAGUGGGGAAUAUUGCACAAUGGGGGAAACCCUGAUGCAGCGAUGCCGCGUGAAGGAAGAAGAUUUUCGGAUUGUAAACUUCUAUCAGCAAGGAAGAAAACGGACAGUACUUGACUAAGAAGCCCUGGCUAACUACGUGCCAGCAGCCGCGGUAAUACGUAGGGGGCAAGCGUUAUCCGGAAUUACUGGGUGUAAAGGGUGCGUAGGCGGUAUGGCAAGUUUGAUGUGAAACCCACAGGCUUAACCUGUGGCUUGCAUCGAAAACUACUGAACUAGAGUGCAGGAGAGGAAAGCGGAAUUCCUAGUGUAGCGGUGAAAUGCGUAGAUAUUAGGAAGAACACCAGUGGCGAAGGCGGCUUUCUGGACUGCAACUGACGCUGA